UUAAGCGACUAAGCGUACACGGUGGAUGCCCUGGCAGUCAGAGGCGAUGAAGGACGUGCUAAUCUGCGAUAAGCGUCGGUAAGGUGAUAUGAACCGUUAUAACCGGCGAUUUCCGAAUGGGGAAACCCAGUGUGUUUCGACACACUAUCAUUAACUGAAUCCAUAGGUUAAUGAGGCGAACCGGGGGAACUGAAACAUCUAAGUACCCCGAGGAAAAGAAAUCAACCGAGAUUCCCCCAGUAGCGGCGAGCGAACGGGGAGCAGCCCAGAGCCUGAAUCAGUGUGUGUGUUAGUGGAAGCGUCUGGAAAGGCGUGCGAUACAGGGUGACAGCCCCGUACACAAAAAUGCACAUACUGUGAGCUCGAUGAGUAGGGCGGGACACGUGGUAUCCUGUCUGAAUAUGGGGGGACCAUCCUCCAAGGCUAAAUACUCCUGACUGACCGAUAGUGAACCAGUACCGUGAGGGAAAGGCGAAAAGAACCCCGGCGAGGGGAGUGAAAAAGAACCUGAAACCGUGUACGUACAAGCAGUGGGAGCACGCUUAGGCGUGUGACUGCGUACCUUUUGUAUAAUGGGUCAGCGACUUAUAUUCUGUAGCAAGGUUAACCGAAUAGGGGAGCCGAAGGGAAACCGAGUCUUAACUGGGCGUUAAGUUGCAGGGUAUAGACCCGAAACCCGGUGAUCUAGCCAUGGGCAGGUUGAAGGUUGGGUAACACUAACUGGAGGACCGAACCGACUAAUGUUGAAAAAUUAGCGGAUGACUUGUGGCUGGGGGUGAAAGGCCAAUCAAACCGGGAGAUAGCUGGUUCUCCCCGAAAGCUAUUUAGGUAGCGCCUCGUGAAUUCAUCUCCGGGGGUAGAGCACUGUUUCGGCAAGGGGGUCAUCCCGACUUACCAACCCGAUGCAAACUGCGAAUACCGGAGAAUGUUAUCACGGGAGACACACGGCGGGUGCUAACGUCCGUCGUGAAGAGGGAAACAACCCAGACCGCCAGCUAAGGUCCCAAAGUCAUGGUUAAGUGGGAAACGAUGUGGGAAGGCCCAGACAGCCAGGAUGUUGGCUUAGAAGCAGCCAUCAUUUAAAGAAAGCGUAAUAGCUCACUGGUCGAGUCGGCCUGCGCGGAAGAUGUAACGGGGCUAAACCAUGCACCGAAGCUGCGGCAGCGACACUAUGUGUUGUUGGGUAGGGGAGCGUUCUGUAAGCCUGUGAAGGUGUACUGUGAGGUAUGCUGGAGGUAUCAGAAGUGCGAAUGCUGACAUAAGUAACGAUAAAGCGGGUGAAAAGCCCGCUCGCCGGAAGACCAAGGGUUCCUGUCCAACGUUAAUCGGGGCAGGGUGAGUCGACCCCUAAGGCGAGGCCGAAAGGCGUAGUCGAUGGGAAACAGGUUAAUAUUCCUGUACUUGGUGUUACUGCGAAGGGGGGACGGAGAAGGCUAUGUUGGCCGGGCGACGGUUGUCCCGGUUUAAGCGUGUAGGCUGGUUUUCCAGGCAAAUCCGGAAAAUCAAGGCUGAGGCGUGAUGACGAGGCACUACGGUGCUGAAGCAACAAAUGCCCUGCUUCCAGGAAAAGCCUCUAAGCAUCAGGUAACAUCAAAUCGUACCCCAAACCGACACAGGUGGUCAGGUAGAGAAUACCAAGGCGCUUGAGAGAACUCGGGUGAAGGAACUAGGCAAAAUGGUGCCGUAACUUCGGGAGAAGGCACGCUGAUAUGUAGGUGAAGCGACUUGCUCGUGGAGCUGAAAUCAGUCGAAGAUACCAGCUGGCUGCAACUGUUUAUUAAAAACACAGCACUGUGCAAACACGAAAGUGGACGUAUACGGUGUGACGCCUGCCCGGUGCCGGAAGGUUAAUUGAUGGGGUCAGCGCAAGCGAAGCUCUUGAUCGAAGCCCCGGUAAACGGCGGCCGUAACUAUAACGGUCCUAAGGUAGCGAAAUUCCUUGUCGGGUAAGUUCCGACCUGCACGAAUGGCGUAAUGAUGGCCAGGCUGUCUCCACCCGAGACUCAGUGAAAUUGAACUCGCUGUGAAGAUGCAGUGUACCCGCGGCAAGACGGAAAGACCCCGUGAACCUUUACUAUAGCUUGACACUGAACAUUGAGCCUUGAUGUGUAGGAUAGGUGGGAGGCUUUGAAGUGUGGACGCCAGUCUGCAUGGAGCCGACCUUGAAAUACCACCCUUUAAUGUUUGAUGUUCUAACGUUGACCCGUAAUCCGGGUUGCGGACAGUGUCUGGUGGGUAGUUUGACUGGGGCGGUCUCCUCCUAAAGAGUAACGGAGGAGCACGAAGGUUGGCUAAUCCUGGUCGGACAUCAGGAGGUUAGUGCAAUGGCAUAAGCCAGCUUGACUGCGAGCGUGACGGCGCGAGCAGGUGCGAAAGCAGGUCAUAGUGAUCCGGUGGUUCUGAAUGGAAGGGCCAUCGCUCAACGGAUAAAAGGUACUCCGGGGAUAACAGGCUGAUACCGCCCAAGAGUUCAUAUCGACGGCGGUGUUUGGCACCUCGAUGUCGGCUCAUCACAUCCUGGGGCUGAAGUAGGUCCCAAGGGUAUGGCUGUUCGCCAUUUAAAGUGGUACGCGAGCUGGGUUUAGAACGUCGUGAGACAGUUCGGUCCCUAUCUGCCGUGGGCGCUGGAGAACUGAGGGGGGCUGCUCCUAGUACGAGAGGACCGGAGUGGACGCAUCACUGGUGUUCGGGUUGUCAUGCCAAUGGCACUGCCCGGUAGCUAAAUGCGGAAGAGAUAAGUGCUGAAAGCAUCUAAGCACGAAACUUGCCCCGAGAUGAGUUCUCCCUGACUCCUUGAGAGUCCUGAAGGAACGUUGAAGACGACGACGUUGAUAGGCCGGGUGUGUAAGCGCAGCGAUGCGUUGAGCUAACCGGUACUAAUGAACCGUGAGGCUUAACCUU
rnacentral:rRNA from 1 species